rnacentral:lncRNA from 1 species
GUGUAAAUAAAGGUGCUGUUAAUAAUGCUGUACUUUCUGAAUUAGGUUUAUUCCCACUUUCAUUGUCAGCCCUUAAAAAUACAAUUAACUUCUGGCUUCAUAUCAUUAAUAUGGACAGUGAGAGUAUGGUAAAGAAAGCAUACAAUGAAAACUUAAACUUUCCUAAUGGUUUUUGUAGUAAAUUAAAAGUGUUAUUAGGUAAACUUGGUUUUCAGCAUGUCUGGGAAAAUCAAAACACUAUGUCAAAGA